UACGUAGGGAGCGAGCGUUGUCCGGAUUUAUUGGGUGUAAAGAGCGCGUAGGCGGUUCGGUAAGUCGGAUGUGAAAACUCCAAGCUCAACUUGGAGCCUGCAUCCGAAACUGCUGUGACUAGAGUCAGGUAGGGGAACACGGAAUUCCAGGUGUAGCGGUGAAAUGCUUAGAUAUCUGGAGGAACACCAGUGGCGAAGGCGGUGUUCUGGGCCUGUACUGACGCUGAGGCGCGAAAGCGUGGGGAGCGAACAGG
rnacentral:rRNA from 1 species